AACGAACGCUGGCGGCAUGCCUAACACAUGCAAGUCGAACGAUGCCUUCGGGCAUAGUGGCGCACGGGUGCGUAACGCGUGGGAAUCUGCCUUUCGGUUCGGAAUAACUCAGGGAAACUUGAGCUAAUACCGGAUAACGUCGCAAGACCAAAGAUUUAUCACCGAAAGAUGAGCCCGCGUAGGAUUAGCUAGUUGGUGAGGUAAAGGCUCACCAAGGCGACGAUCCUUAGCUGGUCUGAGAGGAUGAUCAGCCACACUGGGACUGAGACACGGCCCAGACUCCUACGGGAGGCAGCAGUGGGGAAUAUUGGACAAUGGGCGAAAGCCUGAUCCAGCAAUGCCGCGUGAGUGAUGAAGGCCUUAGGGUUGUAAAGCUCUUUUACCCGGGAAGAUAAUGACGGUACCGGAAGAAUAAGCCCCGGCUAACUCCGUG
rnacentral:rRNA from 1 species